UGGGGAAUAUUGGACAAUGGGCGCAAGCCUGAUCCAGCCAUGCCGCGUGAGUGAUGAAGGCCCUAGGGUUGUAAAGCUCUUUCACCGGUGAAGAUAAUGACGGUAACCGGAGAAGAAGCCCCGGCUAACUUCGUGCCAGCAGCCGCGGUAAUACGAAGGGGGCUAGCGUUGUUCGGAUUUACUGGGCGUAAAGCGCACGUAGGCGGACUUUUAAGUCAGGGGUGAAAUCCCGGGGCUCAACCCCGGAACUGCCUUUUAUACUGGAAGUCUUGAGUAUGGUAGAGGUGAGUGGGAUUCCGAGUGUUGAGGUGGAAUUCGUAGAUAUUCGGAGGAACACCAGUGGCGAAGGCGGCUCACUGGACCAUUACUGACGCUGAGGUGCGAAAGCGUGGGGAGCAAACAGG
rnacentral:rRNA from 1 species